rnacentral:rRNA from 1 species
ACCUGGUUGAUCCUGCCAGUAGUCAUAUGCUUGUCUCAAAGAUUAAGCCAUGCAUGUCUAAGUAUAAGCUUGUUUAUACGGCGAGACUGCGGAUGGCUCAUUAAAUCAGUUAUAGUUUAUUUGAUGGUCUCUUUUGUCCUUUUUUACCUACUUGGAUAACCGUGGUAAUUCUAGAGCUAAUACAUGCGCAAGGUCCCGAGCGCGGGGGGCGGGGCUUCACGGCCUCGUCCUCGCAUGCGCAGAGGGAUGUAUUUAUUAGGUUAAAAACCAGCAGCCGGCAACGGCUUCAAUCUCCUGGUGAUUCAUAGUAACUCUUUCGGAUCGCAUUCAUGCCCUCCUUGUGGGGGCGGCGACGAUUCAUUCAAAUUUCUGCCCUAUCAACUUUCGAUGGUAGGAUAGAGGCCUACCAUGGUCGUAACGGGUAACGGAGAAUUAGGGUUCGAUUCCGGAGAGGGAGCCUGAGAAAUGGCUACCACUUCUAAGGAAGGCAGCAGGCGNGCNAAUUACCCAAUCCCGACGCGGGGAGGUAGUGACAAUAAAUAACAAUACAGGCGCUCGAUAAGAGUCUUGUAAUUGGAAUGAGUACAAUUUAAACCCCUUAACGAGUAACAAUUGGAGGGCAAGUCUGGUUAACAAGCGCAUCACAGCUAACAGCCAGAUGUCGAACACCAAUAGCAGCCGAACCCACAACAAGUCAGGCCUCACAGGCCUCUCACUGCUGGAGAGCGAUGAUGAGGCUCUAGCCCGAUGGGCUAGAGCCUUGCGCAAAACUCUCACGCCAAUGCCGGCACUUUGCCAAGGCAGCGACUGUCUACUCCUGCCUGCGCAGGACGGUCGGUUCAGCUACCAACGGCGCAAGGUGGCCUUUGGCUAUCAAAUCGUUGCAUUUGAGAAGUUUGGAAGGGACGCCCUUGCUCAGGUGGAAGCCUCCAAGGACAGAAGCUCCAAGCUGCUCUCUCACAUAUGUGGGACCCGCAACUGUUGCAAUGUUGACCACAUUGUGAUAGAGACCAAGGGGAUCAACGAUGAGAGAACGCACUGCCACUUUUGUAUGCUCAACGUCUUCAACGCCUCGGGUCAUUCUGGGGUGGCGAGGUUCUUAGAGCUGGGAGGGUGUCCUCACACUCCCCGCUGCGGCAGCAUCACCCUGCUCGAGGGUUCAUAAUGAAUGUGUUUGGCAGAAAGUUGGAGAUAAGCACCAACUGUACAACCGUAAAUUGCGGGGAACCCCUAAUAGCCUAUUCUACCGCGGCUGUGAGGAUGACUCACAGUGCAGCAGGUGCGGGUAACGCCCACCGGAUGGUAAUAACGAAUAGGAUGACCUAGUCCUCCAACAGACACAUAUAUAACAGGUCACAAUGGGCAAUCCGCAGCCAAGCUCCCAUCUGUUGGGAGAAGGUUCAGAGACUAUAAUCGGAUGGGCGCAAGCUUAAGGUAUAGUCCACUCCCACUUCGAAAGAGGUGCUAUAGAGUUAUUAAGAAGUGUAUGCUUACUUCCUAGGGCUCAUAGAUCCGUUGCUUGCAUAUAUAUAUAUAUGUGCAUCAAUACCACAAGAGGAAAUGCUUGUUGGAAGGAUGGUAGCAAGGGCCAGCAGCCGCGGUAAUUCCAGCUCCAAUAGCGUAUAUUAAAGUUGUUGCAGUUAAAAAGCUCGUAGUUGGAUCUAGGGACGCGCAUUUCAAGCGCCCGUGCCAUCGGGUCAAACCGGUGGCUGCGUUGGCGUUGCGGGCUCGGUCCGUCGGUGCCCCACAAAGGGCUAUCGGCGUGUCAACCGGCCCGCCCGUCCCCUCCUUCUGGAUUCCCGUUCCUGCUAUUGAGUUAGUGGGGACGUCACAGGGGGCUCAUCGUCGUGCGGGUCAAACCGUGCGGCGGUGGGUCCCUGGGGCCCAGAUCGUUUACCGUGAAAAAAUUAGAGUGUUCAAAGCAGGCAGAUCCAAUUUUCUGCCACCGAAUACAUUAGCAUGGGAUAAUGGAAUAGGACCCUGUCCUCCUAUUUUCAGUUGGUUUUGGCAGCGCGAGGACUAGGGUAAUGAUUAAUAGGGAUAGUUGGGGGCAUUAAUAUUUAAUUGUCAGAGGUGAAAUCCUUGGAUUUAUGAAAGAUUAACUUCUGCGAAAGCAUCUGCCAAGGAUGUUUUCAUUAAUCAAGAACGAAAGUUAGGGGAUCGAAGACGAUCAGAUACCGUCGUAGUCUUAACCAUAAACGAUGCCGACCAGCGAUUAGGAGACGUUGAAUACAAAACACCACCAUCGGUGCGGUCGUCCUUGGCGUCGGUUUCGGCCGGCGCGGGGGCGGCUUAGCCCGGUGGCACCGGUGAAUGACUCCCCUAGCAGCUUGUGAGAAAUCAUAAGUCUUUGGGUUCCGGGGGGAGUAUGGUCGCAAGGCUGAAACUUAAAGGAAUUGACGGAAGGGCACCACCAGGAGUGGAGCCUGCGGCUUAAUUUGACUCAACACGGGGAAACUUACCAGGUCCGGAUAUAGUAAGGAUUGACAGAUUGAUAGCUCUUUCUUGAUUCUAUGGGUGGUGGUGCAUGGCCGUUCUUAGUUGGUGGAGUGAUUUGUCUGGUUAAUUCCGUUAACGAACGAGACCUUAACCUGCUAAAUAUGCCGCGCUAACCCGUCCAUCAAAACCCAUGCGUGGCUCACGCGGUCCGCUGCGGGGUGGUGUCGCUUCGCGGCGACGUCAUCCCGCCGGCAGGGCCCGGGUCCGUGUGGGCGGUAGGGUUCGGCGUCCGUGCUUCUUAGAGGGACUGCUGCGCGCCUAGCCAGCGGAAGUUUGAGGCAAUAACAGGUCUGUGAUGCCCUUAGAUGUUCUGGGCCGCACGCGCGCUACACUGAUUAAUCCAACGAGUCCGCUUCAAUCGAGGCGUGAUGCCCGUUGGGGUCAAACCCAACUGGCGUCGCUGUCCUCGAUCGCGCCUGGGCCGAUAGGUCCGGGUAAUCUUUGCAAAUUUAAUCGUGCUGGGGAUAGAUCAUUGUAAUUAUUGAUCUUCAACGAGGAAUUCCUAGUAAGCGCGAGUCAUCAGCUCGCGUUGAUUACGUCCCUGCCCUUUGUACACACCGCCCGUCGCUCCUACCGAUUGAAUGGUCCGGUGAAAUCCUCGGAGCCGUGGCCUCUACGCAAUCCGGGCAACCGGGUUGUGAGGUCUCCCCUUUUGGCGGCGAAGUCGAUUGAACCUUACCAUUUAGAGGAAGGAGAAGUCGUAACAAGGUCUCCGUAGGUGAACCUGCAGAAGGAUCAA